ACCUAUGGCUAAGUGGUCUAAGCGAUAGACUUUUACUCCAGGGUUAAGUGGUUCGAGCCCAGUUGAGGGUU
rnacentral:tRNA from 1 species